rnacentral:antisense_RNA from 1 species
CUUUAUGGUAAGAACAUUUGGGACAUCGUAAGAUGUGCUGUUUGUUUGCCAACAGUCCGCCAACCUGAAUGUUCUUGCCGCCUAA